UAAUACAUGCAAGUCGAACGCGUCUCCGUUAAUGAUUUUAGGUGCUUGCACUUGAAAGAUUUAACAUUGAGACGAGUGGCGAACUGGUGAGUAACACGUGGGUAACCUGCCCUUGAAGUAGGGGAUAACACUUGGAAACAGGUGCUAAUACCGUAUAACAACCAAAACCACCUGGUUUUGGUUUAAAAGACGGCUUCGGCUGUCACUUUAGGAUGGACCCGCGGCGUAUUAGCUUGUUGGUAAGGUAACGGCCUACCAAGGCGAUGAUACGUAGCCGACCUGAGAGGGUAAUCGGCCACAUUGGGACUGAGACACGGCCCAAACUCCUACGGGAGGCAGCAGUAGGGAAUCUUCCACAAUGGACGAAAGUCUGAUGGAGCAACGCCGCGUGAGUGAUGAAGGGUUUCGGCUCGUAAAACUCUGUUGUUGGAGAAGAACAGGUGUCAGAGUAACUGUUGACAUCUUGACGGUAUCCAACCAGAAAGCCACGGCUAACUACGUGCCAGCAGCCGCGGUAAUACGUAGGUGGCAAGCGUUGUCCGGAUUUAUUGGGCGUAAAGCGAGCGCAGGCGGUUUUUUAGGUCUGAUGUGAAAGCCUUCGGCUUAACCGGAGAAGUGCAUCGGAAACCGGGAGACUUGAGUGCAGAAGAGGACAGUGGAACUCCAUGUGUAGCGGUGAAAUGCGUAGAUAUAUGGAAGAACACCAGUGGCGAAGGCGGCUGUCUGGUCUGUAACUGACGCUGAGGCUCGAAAGCAU
rnacentral:rRNA from 1 species